UAUUGCUAGGGGAGCACAAUGCUGAGAUUGAAUCCUCGGAUUCUAACCCUCACUACCUGAACCGGAUAAUACCGGCGUAGGGAAGCAACG
rnacentral:ncRNA from 1 species